ACUCAGCAGCUGCACACCUGCACAUGCGAAAGGGCCAUCUGGAAAGCAGAUCACUACAUGAGAAAAAAAAAAAAAGAAAAAAAAAAAAACGUAGAUGGACUAUGGGGCACUCAUAAUAGGGAGGAGACAGUAGUAAAGAGCCUGUUCCCAGGUCAGUGGCUACAAAUAGAGUUGAAAAAACUAUGCAGAUUGUACAUGAGAAAUAUACUUCUGCUGCAUUGAAGACAUAUGAUUUCCAGCAGGUUGUUGAUGUUGAAGAGUACCAGUUCCAAGACUCCAUUAGGACACAAAAUCAUUGACCAUAACCCUCUGGCUGCAACCAUCCAACCAAUUUCCUUAUCCUCUGAAUUGUCCACCCCUAAAAUCCGUAUCUCUCCAAUUUAGAGAUAUGGAUGUGGCAUGAGAACAUGUCAAAGACCAUACAGAAGCUAAGGUAAGUGACAUCAGUUGCCCUCCCUUUGUCUACUGAUGCUAUCACUCCAUCAGAGAAAGCCAUUAGAUUGAUCAGACAUGAUCUGCCCUUGGUGAAGCUGUGCUGGCCGUCUCAGAACAUCUCCUCAUCUCACAUGUGCCUUAAAAUAGCUUCCAGAAGAUUCUGCUCCAUGAUCUUCAUAGGCAUAGAUCUGAGGCUCACCAGCCUGUAGUUCCCUGGGUCUUCCUUUUUCCCACUCCAGAAAAUGGGAGUGAUGCUUGCCUUCUUCGACUCACCAGUGACUUCUUCUGCCACUGAGAAGUGUCACUUUAUUUGAUUUGUAAGAAAAGACUUAGUAAAUGUUUUCAAAUUGGUCAGAACACCACUCUCUACUGACACUUUGCACCAAAGCAUCUACACAAUUCUUGAUGUCACAAAAUGGUCAACAGUAUUUCAAGAGCCAUAUAACUGGUUGUAAGAGAUUAUUCUUUUACAUCAUUGUCUCAGAGCUUGUUGGGGACACAGAUGGACAAGUCCAAGCAAGUCCUGGGCAAGGGUUGUGAAAUCCUUCGAAGGACACAGAUGGACAAGGCCAAGGGCAACGAGAGAGAGAUAAACCACACAUUAGUGGCCAGGAAGCACUCUUUUGUGUGAGCUUAUCUCAAGGAAGAUGGCCAUCUCAGGAGGUGCUGCACAUGACUCUUACCCAAGUGUCCAGGAAUGCCACGAUGGCAGAAGAAGGAUAAAAAGGGGACCUACAGCCAUGAGGUUUACUGGCAACAGAUUCCUCAUGAAGAAGACGAGGUUUCUGACAUGAGAAGCCUCACGCCCUGCCUCUCUCCCUCCUGGACCUGCUCUGUGCUCCAUCAUGAUGCUAAAGAAGAACAAAGGUGUCUGCCAUCAGAUUCCUCACUACAGAAUUCCUGCAUGCUGACAGACUCUCCUGGGCCUGCUACCUGAAUCCUGCUGCUUCCUCCCGGAUUGGCUCUGCUACCUGCUACCUGCUUGCUGCCCAAAGCCAGCCACGCUGCUGCUCUCCCCCUGCUGCUUCUGCCUCGGACCUUCGAAGCGCCGUGCAGCGGGACUGCUGCUGGAUCUUGGUGGUGACUAUCCCCGCUUUAUGUGACUCUUGCUUCUUUCCUAUCUUUUCUAUCGUCCUCCUUCCCUUCCCCAUCACCCUAAUUCGUAAUAGUCACUGUCCUUCCUUUCCCCAUCUCCCUGAUUAGGAUUUAUGAUAAAUUGGUAGGACCAACAUUUGAAGCAUUGUUUCUUAAUCUCAUGCCAGGUAUAAAUAUAUUAAAAACAACCUCCUCUCUCUCCUAUAAAUUGAAGCAAGACACUGGUCAAACUGCUGAUUGAGUAUAAUGAAUUAAUCACACAUUCAAGUAACAAAUGCAUGUGAGAAAUAGUGUCUGUAAUAAGUAUAAAUACAAAACACAGCUACUCUCCCUUACUACACUAGCCAUCAACCUCACAAAACCUUGUAGGAAAGGAACCAAUCAUCAGGAAACACUAAUUCCCAAAAGGCAUCACAACAUUAGUAUGUAAAUGUCUGUAACAGUGGUAACCUACACCUGUUCUAGGCAAGUGUAAAGUUUAUACCUGGAAAUGUUCAGCAAAAACUCAUUUAGGCAUUCAGGUCUUACUGCCACAUUGCUAAUGUACUGUCCCAAAGGAGCACCAAUAAUGUACAUACAUGAACACUGGAUAGUUGAACUGUGAAUAUUCCUUCUUCCCUUGAUGCACAAUUACCUAUCUUUGAAUUUGUAUAUGGAAAUCUUAUUCAGAGUGAUUUAUAUCAACAUAUCCAGAGUAUUUCCUAGCAUUUGUCCAUGAGGAAAUGGUAAGAGGGUCACUAUGAAGAGGGGUUCAUAUGCACUAUGAUAGAUUAAGUGUACUGAGAAGGCCAAUGAAAAUAAUUAGAGAGCUGGCAAAGUUGACAUGUAAAAAAAAACCUUCUGAAAAUUAAAAAUUUCACACAAUUUCACUGUAGAGGAUUAAGAGGAAACACAGUCACUGAGAUAGAAAUAAAAUUUUAAUAUCUAUAUGACUAAUAUUCUGAAUUAUUAAAGAAUUGUUUAGAAAAGACAAAAUACAUAGAGUUAUAAAAAAGUAAGUACUGAAAAAAUCUGCAGCUAAGCAUUGUGAAAAACUACUUGGCAGUGAGAUCUGCAAAGCAGUACAAAAGCAUCUCAAGGGAAGUAGUGGAAUCUCCAUCAUUUGGGAUGUUUAAAACCAAUCUAGACAAAUUGUUGGAAAUGUUCUAUAGGGAAUAGUCCUGAAUUGGUAAAGAGACAGACUGGAUGACCUAACAGGUCUUUUUCCAUCUGUAAUGUCUAUUACUCUGUAAUUGUCUCAUGUCCUCAAUCCACACAUUAAGCAAUGCUCAUAUAGCUCCAGCGCCAAAUGGUUUAGUUCCAAAGCUCCCACUCCUUCUUUACUCAUCAUUUAAGACAAACAGAGCAAAUCCUACUUAGGAAUGAAAAUGUUCAUAGCAAGAUCAACAAGGAAAAAUGAUUCUGAGGCCCAAGUCAUUUCUUUUACACAAGAAGUUCUAGGUCUGCUAAUAUGCACCACUAGAAUACAAACAGCUUCAAAAUCGUACACAGCUCACUUCAGUGCUUCUGCUUCUUAGUACAACUUGCAUUUUUUAAGUUAGUGUUUAGUAAAUCCUGUUGCAAACUAGCUUUCUGUCUUGAUUUUAUGAUUGUUGGUUAUCGGUAUUCCACAUCAUAACAUCAUGUAGUGCACUGGGAGUUUAACUGAUAAUGCUCAAGUUCCUGGUACCUGUCUGGAAGAGAAGAACUACAUUCCCCAGGGAGUUCUGUGGUCAGAGAGGAGCUAUGGCAAGGUCACCUGAUGUGCUCUUCUUCGUUGGCUCUUCUUUGUUGGCUCUCCUCCUGUCUCCCUGCUGCUCAACUGGACUGCGCAUCUCACCUCAGCAUUAUGGUGAGGCCUAUCCACCUUUCAGACAUUCUCUUUCUCAUUAUAUUUGAUUUAUUAGCUGCAAUUCUAAUUACAUUGCAUUAUAGUGUGUUAUCUUGCGUUCCGAUACAAUAUUUAGUAAAUUAGUUUGUUUCUCUUCAGAUCGUUGCUGCUGUUUUUAAUUACUUUGGGGUCCCCUGUUUCCCUUUUUCCGGAGGCGUGGAUUUUCCAAAAUCCCUCCGCCCCACUGGUCAUGGAACCGGGCCAAACCAGCCUGUAAAUCAUUGACACUUUCAAACAUUUCUGUCAGGCACACAAAGCUUUGCAGUUUUGAGAAAAUGAGAAGAGUUGACAGACCACAGCCACACCUUGAUCAACACCUGUAAGAUUCUUCAGUUUGACUUUGUUUCACCAAGAGUAGUACUUUAAAUGACUGUGUUUGGCUCUGUUAUCUCAUGAUUGUUCUAUACUGUUAUUAAUCAAAAGGAACAUACAUUAAGAACAACUAAAAGAAAGAAAGUUACUUGAUUACUUGUUUUGAGCACAUUUUAGUUAAAAAACCUAUGGAUCUUGAAGUGCUUGAUUUCGAUUACCAAAGUAAGUCUUCACUUUAUAUUAUAUAGUAUAAAUGUAUUAUGUGAAGUAUAAAUAAUUUAUAUAAUAUAGAAUAUUGAAUUAAUUACUAUGAAAUCAAGUUACAAUUUUAUUGUCUCUUUGUAGAACAAAAAGAUUAUAUAUUAUAUGUAUAUAUAAGAUUUUUAACAUGUUUACAUGAUUUUUAUAUUGUUUUCUACUUUGCUUUCUUUAAUAUUCACAGAGGGAGAGUUAACCUGGUAGCUUAGGCCAGCUUAUCCUUUCUUGGUGUAGUGAACAAUAGUUGCAAAUGACGCAAGUUAACUUGUUUACAUAAUAUGAUUUACCAGUACAUUAGUAAUCACAAUUUUCUAUGGCCGUGCUUAUUCUAGAACAGUAAUAUCCAGGCACAGACUUACAAAUUUGCAAUAGUUAUAUAUUUAGGAUAGAGUAUUUCUCAUACUUUUUUUUUUUUUUUAAGACCAAAUUGGAAAAAAAAAAUCACAUUUUUAAAGCAAGGAUUUUUCAGUGUAAGUACUGCACAUAUCAAGUUAUUAUAAAGUGACAAGACAAAUACACAGCAAGUUAUCUACUAUCAUGUCUGAAGUAGAGAAUGAAAAAAAUCAGAAAUUUAAUGAUCUUCUAAAAUGAAUCUUGCAAUUGUUUAAAAGGAAAACAAUAUAGGUAGAAAAGCUUUCAUUGUUAUAAAAAAAAAAAAAGCCUACUAAACCAAACUACUAUAAACUUAUCAAAUAAUGAAUAAAACGAAAACCCAAAAUGAA